AGUAGAAAUCUCUUCCCAUCACCUGCCCCCAACAUUACAAAGCCACAAGAAGAGAACACCGAUCCUUCCAGAAUCCGGCGGCUGACUAUUUAGUGAGAUUUCUUAAGGUACCCAGUACUACACGAUUUUUCACUAAAGUUGGAUCUGCACAGCCUUUUCUGCUCUGUGAAACAACUGCACUGAACUUUACUGUUAGCGACUGGAUACAGCUGAUCCACUCAUAUCCUGCUACUGUUUUUCAUCUGCUGAAUGUUUUUGACUCAAGCACUGCUGUACUGUUGCAAAGUCAAAGGUACUGAAUUAACUUCACUGACACAGGACUCACAUUCACUGAUAUGUUCAGGACUUAAGUAUUAAACACCAUUUGAUCACAUCAUAUAAUUCUGAUGACAGAAAUCCAUAUAUUGUGCAUUCAUCGUUUAUUUAAAAAAUUAACCUAUAAUGUAAACGUGCUUGUUCGUUAAUAAAAAAAAUAGUUUGUUUGAAACAACUGUU